UGGGGAAUAUUGCACAAUGGGCGCAAGCCUGAUGCAGCCAUGCCGCGUGUAUGAAGAAGGCCUUCGGGUUGUAAAGUACUUUCAGCGGGGAGGAAGGUGUUGUGGUUAAUAACCACAGCAAUUGACGUUACCCGCAGAAGAAGCACCGGCUAACUCCGUGCCAGCAGCCGCGGUAAUACGGAGGGUGCAAGCGUUAAUCGGAAUUACUGGGCGUAAAGCGCACGCAGGCGGUCUGUCAAGUCGGAUGUGAAAUCCCCGGGCUCAACCUGGGAACUGCAUCCGAGACUGGCAGGCUUGAGUCUUGUAGAGGGGGGUAGAAUUCCAGGUGUAGCGGUGAAAUGCGUAGAGAUCUGGAGGAAUACCGGUGGCGAAGGCGGCCCCCUGGACAAAGACUGACGCUCAGGUGCGAAAGCGUGGGGAGCAAACA
rnacentral:rRNA from 1 species